rnacentral:tRNA from 1 species
GUCACUUUGCCGGAGUGGUUAACGGGAUCGCCUGCUAUUCGUAGCUGACAGCGGUUGGGCUUUGCCCGCGAGUGUUCGAAUCGCUCAGGUGACG